AGGAAGCAGAAGGAUAUUUUGUUUGCUCGCCACACAACCCUCGCAGCCACAAUCUUCAUUUAGUUUCCUUGAAGUCUCUCUUGCUGUAGUUCAUUGUUCAUCUUAAGAGUGCUCGGCAUUCUCGUGUUGUCAACCCCAUUUUAGAAGUGGAUGUGUUUUCGCCCCCCUCUCUCUCCGUAUCAGUCGUAGCUACUGCCUCUUUAGCUUCGAGUUUUGCAGUUUUGGCGUAUUUUCUUAUCCUACGUGGAAUCGAUACAAGCCUCUGUGAUUAUUGAUGUUGCCUCCAUUAGAACCUCUACAGGGUUACCCUGACUAUAUGUUUGAUGGGUCCUGUAGGAUACGAAGUGCAUGAAGACCUCAGCGGAAGCCAUCAGGUGAAGCCCGACUCAACUAGUGUUUUCUAAAUGCUCAAGCAAUGUUUCGAUUAUACUUUCGUGCAUUAUACAAUACCGUGACGAUGUCCUUCUGACAAACCGCACCGGGCCACUCCUUCCGAAAUUGUAUGGAUCGAGUUGUUUCAGAGGUCGAUUUCAAGUUCUUGGUGACCUACCUUACCAAUUUUAUUGAACAUUCAUUCGAACCUCGCUUGUGCUAAGUUUCACAAGAUACUACAUGCACAACAUGGCAUUGGGUUUAUACUACUAUCGGUUGAUGUAGAGUGAUGAACAGCUAACUUCUGGCAAUUCGGAAAGAUCUUCGCAAGCUAUUAUCGAAGUACUGAGGAAUAGGGUUGAAAAUGUCCUAGUUGUGUGUAAUAAAUUAUUCGAUGCUCCAGAAUUUAAUCCUAGCAGCAGCCAGUACGAAUUGUUGACCGUUGACUUUGAUUUAAUUUUGAGAUGACAUCAAAUUUUGUUUCGGUGUUGUAAACAAGUUACGCGGCAUUUUGAUUACCCUUCAAGUCAUUGACAAAUGUAGUGCAGCAUUCAGUGCUGAUGCCGCAAAACUAAUUCUAAAAUGAUACUUUUUUCUGGUUUAUGCAA